rnacentral:lncRNA from 1 species
CUGGGUACUUUAAUGUUAUAUUUUAUGAUCCAUUUUUAAUUUCAUUUUUACAACAACCCUUCAACAUAAAUGAUACUCUGCCCAUUUUAUAGAUGAUAAAACACUCCAAAAGGACAGGAAACUUGCCAGAAGCUAGUGAGUCAGGAAGAAGGAAGCCAGGAUUCAACCCUGGAAGCAGGUAAUUUGCCCUGUGGAAUUUCCCACAUUCUGGAUUCUGUGGAUGGCCUUCCUGUUAUAUCCUCUGUCUCCUGCAUUUCCCACUAAAUUGCAGUUAGACCUAGAGGCCUUGAUUAGCCCUGAGCUAAUGUCUACUGCUAAUCCUCCUCUUUUUGCUGAGGAAGACUGGCCCUGAGCUAACAUCUGUGUCCAUCUUCCUCUGCUCUCUUUGUGGGACGCCUGCCACAGAAUGGCUUGACAAGCAGUAUAUAGGUCUGCACCCGAGAUCCGAACUGGCACACCUUGGGCCGCUGAAGCAGAAUGUGCGAACUUAACCUCUGCACCACCAGGCUGGCCCCUGACUAGUGAAUUUUAAGUAUCAUUAUAAAUUCCUGUACUUUUUAACACAUUUAAUGCAUUUCAUCAUGCUGAAUGUUAGUAUUUCUAUAUAAAUAACACCCUUUAGCCUGUAGGUGUGGAUAUGCAAUUACAGACAAUGGAACGACAAGGGCUGUGUGCUAAUCUAAAUUGGGAAAUUGG